UGUGUUAUAGCCCGGCGGACGAUACCCUCGUGGGGACCGAGGUUCGCGCUCCGCAAGGAUGCUGGCGUAAUGGUCAUCAGCGACCCGUCUUGAAACACGGACCAAGGAGUCGUCCAUUAGAGCGAGCGUUUGGGUGUAAAACCCGCACGCGUAAUGAAAGUGAACGCAGGUGAGAGCUUCGGCGCAUCAUCGACCGAUCCUGAUGUUCUCGGAAGGAUUUGAGUAAGAGUUUUAACGGACGGACCCGAAAGACAGUGAACUAUGCUUGUAUAGGGUGAAGCCAGAGGAAACUCUGGUGGAGGCUCGCAGCGGUUCUGACGUGCAAAUCGAUCGUCAAAUAUGAGCAUGGGGGCGAAAGACUAAUCGAACUGUCUAGUAGCUGGUUACCGCCGAAGUUUCCCUCAGGAUAGCAGUGUUGAUCUUCAGUUUUAUGAGGUAAAGCGAAUGAUUAGGGACUCGGGGGCUAUAUAUUGCCUUCAUCCAUUCUCAAACUUUAAAUAUGUAAGAAGCCCUUGUUACUUAAUUGAACGUGGGCAUUCGAAUGUACCAACACUAGUGGGCCAUUUUUGGUAAGCAGAACUGGCGAUGCGGGAUGAACCGAACGCGGGGUUAAGGCGCCAGAGUGUACGCUCAUCAGACACCACAAAAGGCGUUAGUACAUCUUGACAGCAGGACGGUGGCCAUGGAAGUCGGAAUCCGCUAAGGACUGUGUAACAACUCACCUGCCGAAUGUACUAGCCCAGAGAAUGGAUGGCGCUCAAGCGUACCGCCCAUACCCCGCCAUUA
rnacentral:rRNA from 1 species